CAGCAUUGUCCCCCCAGGGUGACUGAUGUUUUAAAAUUAGGUCUUUGCCUCAAAAGGGAAGCGCCCUGUCACCAUCGUGUACAAAACCACCCCCAAGCUCCAGAGCAGGAUGUUGUCCGGUUUGAUGUCCCUGUGUGCGAUGCUGUUCUCGUGGCAGUAGUUGACGGCACACACCAUCUGUGUGAAGAUGCGGUGGGUCUCUUCCUCCUGCAGACAGCCCACCUUCUCGAUGUGGCUCACCAGGUCUCCCCCAGCAGCGUGCUCCAUCACC
rnacentral:lncRNA from 1 species